CCGUUCAGGGGUAAACCUAAGAAACCCAAAAGAACGAACGGGGAGAUUCAUCGUCAGCGACGCUGGCUUCGCGUCGGUGCGCGAUGCUACGCGGGGCCCUUGCGGCUCGCGCGUGGUACGCCGCCGUGCGCCGAUGUCCGGCGUUCGUAGUCGUGCACUUCUCCCCUAGUAGAACGUCGCGACCCGCUGGGUGUCGGUCUACGGCCCGGGUGCGGAGACUGACGCGUCGCCGGUAAAACGGCACGCGUCGACCCCCCGGUCGCCCGGCCGACUGCCCGGCGGUACGCGCAAGGUAUCAGGCCGCACGAGCGAUAUCUUACGAAAGUGAGAGUGGAACGAGUGCGUCGAGACCGUCGCAAGCGCGCGCCACGGAACACGGAUGUAACGGACCUAGCGCCGUCGCCGUGCCUGGCCCGCUGUUGGUCGUACGGUUAACCUUCGACAGGCCUGCCAACGUCCCAAUGGGGGCCUCGUGCUCUCGGCGGGACCGAUACCGGUCGGCGACGCUACUGCUUUGGGUACUCUUAGGACCCGUCUUGAAACAACGGNACCAAGGAA
rnacentral:rRNA from 1 species